AAUAUUUACCUCAGUUAAAAAAUACUGCUGGUAACGUUGAAGCACUGGCGGGCUUCGUCAACCGUCAGUUAUAAAAGCUCUGUUAAAUACAUUUUGUUCCGGGUUUUAAUGAAUUACGUUACAGUCCUGCUUUAUUUCUUUGUCAUUUUAAAUUAAAUUGCCAAUCACAAUAAGACAGCUGUGUUGUAAGGAGACGAAAUUCGAGACAGUAAUUUCAGUGAAGCGCGUGGUCAAAGGAACCGGGUGGAAGACGGUGGAAGGGAAAUUAUACAGGUUGGAGCUAAACUCGGAAGGAAAGUGGAAACUGCUGGCCACAGUUGAGAACAUUCCGCCGAUAACCAUGGUUAAUAAAUGGUCAGACACGUCACUGGCUUUAAAAUAUAAACCCCAUUGAUGCAAAAAGAUGCUGCAUGGAAUGACAAUGAGGUUUGGAACAGACUUGGUGAAGAACAUGGAAACAUCUCUAAAUAAAAUGGCCCCAAACAUCAUCAGGAGUGCAAAAGAAGGAAGUAAAAACAUCUCUACGCCAAUCUCAUUGGAGAGGAAACCACAGAAGGUCUGGUGAGGAAUGCUGCACUUAUGUUAUUGCAAGCAUUAUUUCAAGAAAAUCCCAGCUUCCUUGACUGUGUAAAUAGUGAACCCAAAGGUCCCACACCAACCAUAGUGUUCAACGGCUCUCCUGAUCUUCUCAAAUCUGAAAGUAUCAACUGUAUAAUGGACAAUGUGAACUUAAUAUGUGGAAGACAUUGACAUCACAGGCUGUGGAAUGACUGUGUCACAGGUCGGAGAAGCGGACCGCCCCUGUCGCGGAUCACGCUCCUCCUUGUUCCACCUCGAGGAGGUCCCAAAGCACCCCAAUGACCAGACAAACCAGAGAUAAGUAAAAUAUAAAAAUAGAAACUUUAUUUAAAUUAUUUAAAACUAAAGUGGGGAAUGGGAAAGGGAAUCUAA